GCGCCAGUAGCUCAGCUGGAUAGAGUGUCGCCCUCCGAAGGCGAAGGUCACAGGUUCGAAUCCUGUCUGGCGCACCA
rnacentral:tRNA from 1 species